GUAGGGAAUAUUGCGCAAUGGACGAAAGUCUGACGCAGCCAUGCCGCGUGAAGGAUUGACGGCCCUAUGGGUUGUAAACUUCUUUUGUAUAGGAAUAAACCCUCGUUCGUGAACGAGGCUGAAGGUACUAUAAGAAUAAGCACCGGCUAACUCCGUGCCAGCAGCCGCGGUAAUACGGAGGGUGCAAGCGUUAUCCGGAUUUAUUGGGUUUAAAGGGUCCGUAGGCGGAUCGUUAAGUCAGUGGUGAAAUCCUACCGCUCAACGGUAGAACUGCCAUUGAUACUGGCGAUCUUGAGUAUGUAUGAAGUUGGCGGAAUGUGUGGUGUAGCGGUGAAAUGCUUAGAUAUCACACAGAACACCGAUUGCGAAGGCAGCUGACUAAUACACAACUGACGCUGAGGGACGAAAGUGUGGGGAUCAAACAGGAUUAGAAACCCGAGUAGUCC
rnacentral:rRNA from 1 species